UAUUCUUUAUGUGUAUUGUUCAGUCAAGAUGUCAUGUCAUGUGUGUAUCCAGUGGAAGGUCAGAAUCGCUUCUCACACCCCCCACCCAACCUGGCCCACUACAGACCCCCAGGCAGAGAACUCUCAUCCUCCACCCAGUGCACUAGUGAGACCACAAAGGCCCACUAACCUCUUCACACUCUAAUGAUCCUUCCGCAGGUUCACCUACGGAAA
rnacentral:misc_RNA from 1 species